CUGCCUGGCAGGACUCCCACUGCAUUACCACGCAGUUUCAGCAGCAGUUGAGAGAAAUGGGUCUGGAAAGUAAACUCAUAUCCUCAGCGUGGAGCCUUUAGUGUCAGACAGCUUGUGUCCUCCACGGGCUCCUCGCCUCUCUGAGCGAUCUGUCAUAAGGAAGAGUUGCAAAAAAAGAAUUUUUCAGCUGGCAGUUUAUGAAGAGCACAAUGAGUGUCACAGUCAAGAGCAGAAAGAAAAACAGAAUGAUAAGCUCCACCGCAGCAUCACUUGCUGCUCCACCGCAGCAUCACUGGCUACCGUGGGAAGGGGAGAACUGCGUGGUGGUGCCGACCGCUCUGCAGCCCAUGGUGCAUCUGGCAGUGACACGAUGCUAAAAAGGAAAAGAUCUUCUGAUAAAUCCCCUGAGGCUCUGGCUAGAGGUUUGGAACUGGGGGAGGGUAGCAGAGAAUGGGACAAAAAGAAGAAAAUUGCAUCAAACCCUUUCUUUCUUCCUCAGACCCUUAUCGUUAAAA